rnacentral:lncRNA from 1 species
AUUAACUCGGAUGUGAUAACUAUGUGUGAGAGGUUGGAUCGAAUGGAGAAUCGAAGGAACUCUCAUGCUUUUACUCCCGAAACUUUACUUCCAAUGACCAAUCCACCAAGGCCACCACAUAAUGCAACAAGCCAAGCUCCAAAUAGCCCUUAAGACCGAGAACAAGAUAGACCACUUCCCCCGCAAGUUGAUCAAGUCCAACAAGGAGGACUUGGAAGCCAAUUUCCU